GACGAACCGUGCAAACGUUGUUCGGAAUCACUGGGCUUAAAGGGCGCGUAGGCGGGUUUCCAAGUCUGUGGUGAAAUCCUCCAGCUUAACUGGAGAAGUGCCGUGGAUACUGGGAAUCUCGAGGAGGGUAGGGGCAUCUGGAACUGCCGGUGGAGCGGUGAAAUGCGUUGAUAUCGGCAGGAACUCCGAUGGCGAAGGCAGCUCGCUGGGACGGUACUGACGCUGAGACGCGAAAGCGUGGGGAGCAAACAGG
rnacentral:rRNA from 1 species